AAAAAGUCUGGAAAAUUCAGAACAA
rnacentral:tRNA from 1 species